rnacentral:lncRNA from 1 species
UGGUUUAGUUUUUUUUCGGACAAUUUUUCUUAGUAUUUGGAAAUAUUUGUUUGGUUUGGUUUGUUUUGAACUUUGGAUUUUAUGGACAAUUAUUUCUCAAAUUGAUUAAUUGAAUAAAUGGAAUUAUACGUAUGCAUGUGACCGAUUCAAUUAAUUUAUUUUUAGGUAUAACUAGUGGGGAAGUUAGUUGUCUGGCUAAUAGUACAACUACGCACACCAUAUUGUGUGAUAAACACUAUUUCACUAACUUCGUACCUGAUCGGAUCAUAUUUAUAUAUAUUUUUACUUCAAAUUUACCCGUCUUUUCUUAGUUAGUUCCUUAUAUUUUUGAGCUAUUUACGUUAUUUUUGUGUUUAUAGGAUUUGUUAUGCAAAGAAAAUAAAAUAGCACAAAUGAGAUCUAUUUACGUUAUUUUCGUGGUUAGUGUUGGUUCAAACAGAAAUGUUAAGGCCCUGUGUUGCCCAAAACCUUGUGUUUUCACCUUUGAGUUGAGUCACUUGUGAACUUAAUUCUGUAUGGAUUACUAAUAUUAAUAACUUUUUUCGCAUAUCAUAGAUCUUAUCUCAAUUCCCCAAUCAAUCCUAAUAACCUUUUGUCGCAUAACAAUUACUAGUCUAAAGAUGGCUUAUGGGAUCGACAUAUUCAUCUGAUCAUAUUUGCUAAUUGAGAGCUGGCAUGUGCUUUAGGUUGGGGAUUCUGAUCAGAAAUUGGCAGAUGGAAUUUCUCUAUACUCAAUUAUCGGACCACUUAUAACAGAACAUGCAAAAGGAGAAUAAAAGUUUGCAACAACUUGCAAGGUGGAAAGGCAGCUGGUAAUGCACUUGCAACGGCUAGGAGGGAUUUUGACAGCUUGCAACGUGUGGCAAUAAGGCUUUGGGCGGUGCAAAAGGCUGGUGGAGGAAUAAAGCAGCAGGAAGUCAGUGGGUAGGAAAUAUAUAAAAGAAAGGGGACGGAAAGCAGGACACGGCAUAAUAAUAAGGAUGAUGGAGGAAUAAGGAAAGAAAAAAAAUGAAUAAACAAAGAAGGGCACUGACAGAAAAUAAAAAAAAAAGGAAAUAAGAAGCAGCUUAUAGCUGCCUUGACGGUUGAGCAGCUCAGCUGGGGGGGGGAAUUGGUGGAAGGCAGAGGGCUGCCCUUUGGGCAGCGUGAAGCUGCGGAGAGACACGUGGAGAGACUGGGGGGAGCUGCCCUUUGGGCAGCUCGAGAAGGGAGUCAGCGAGAGCUAGAGAGAGGAGAGCUGCCAGUGUGCAGCGUGACAAGAAAUGCAGGAGAGUGCUGCCAUUGGGCAGCUUGAGAGGAAGUGAGGGAACUUGAUGAUUCUUGCUUGUAUCUCUAUUAUGCAAUUCAUGUAGGGAACUUGUAGGGAAUGUUUUGGGUUGUCGUAUGCAAUCAUCCAACCCAAUAACUUGUGGAAAAACUGAGGGUUAAAAAAGUGCUGUUCACGGUUAAUCUGGAGUAUUGAAAUUCACAAUUUAUUGAAAGAACAACUGAAAAUCAAUUUAGGUUGCUUAUGUGUCAUGUGUGGAGAAGAACCCUCUAGCUAGUCCGUCAUUUAUCAUUUUACCUUAAUUUUAUGUUUUUGUCAAUUCUGUAAUUAAUUAAGUUUAAUUUACUUUUCAUCAAAACCAAACACCCAUCCAUUAUUAAAUUAUAUUAUUUAGUUAGUUUUCAUUGUUGUUAGUCUUUUAAUUCAAUUUCCGUCCAUUUCAGUUCCUAAUAUCCAAUUUGAUUGUUUUCAUUAUUUUGAGUCAUUCUAAGUGUGUUUCGAGUUAUUAGAGUUUUUAGCCUAGUUUUGUGUCCUUGAGUCUUGUUUAAAUUAAUUUAGAAUAAGAUUAGCAAUCCCUCCUAAUCCCCGGCCUAGAACGAUACCCUACUUACAUCUAUACUACAAUUGUCAAAAAGAGGGUUUAAUUUGUGUGUCAAGUAAUUCUCACAUCAGUACCUAAGAAUGCACCUCUGACAACCCUCUCAGGUUCAACCAACCUGAUAGAAGGAUACGGAAAAGCCCAUAUAAUGUUGUCCAAUGGUACUGAAUUAACCAUUAUAGAGGCACUCUAUUCUCCACAUUUUAGAAGAACACUGCUAAGUUUCAGAUAUUUGAGAUAAUCAUUAUCAUGUUGAAACCACUGAAGAGAAUGGUUCUAAAUUUCUUUAUAUCACUUCUUACGAAUAUGGUCGGAAGCAUAUUCACGAGAAGCUGGAACGUCUCUCGAGUGGGUUGUACAUAACAACCAUUCGAUCCGUAGAGACACACCAUGUGGCCAACCCUAGUGCUGGGUUCCAGGACACUCACUCGCUUUGGCAUUAUCGAAUGGGACACCCCGGAUGAGAUAUGAUGUGCCAUAUCAUUAAAGCAUUUCAUGGUCAUCACUUGAAAUCUUAUCACAGCCAUCCCCCUUGCAAAGCAUGUUCCUUGGGGAAGUUGAACACUCAACCCUCCAUUACAAAAGAUUAUUCAUGACCCCUCGAAAUUUCUUCAGAGAAUUUAAGGGGAUAUUUGUGGACCUAUCCAACCAACAUACGGACCAUUUAGAUACUUUAUGAUGUUGAUUGAUGCAUCGACACGAUGGUCACAUGUCUGCUUAUAGUCUACACGCAAUGCUGCAUUUGCAAAACUCCUAGCACAAAUUAUUAAGCUUAGGGCUUACCACUCUAAUUAUCCGAUCAAGUCAAUUCAAGUGGAUAAUGCUGGAGAGUUUACAUCACAGACCUUUGAUGAUUAUUGCAUGUCUGUUGGGAUUUAAGUUGAACAUCAUGUACCUCAUGUUCACACCCAAAAUGGCUUGACAAAAGUUUUCAUAGAGCGCCUUCAAACAAUAACUCGGACUUUGGUUAUGCGAACCAAUUUGCUGGUAUUUGCCUGGGCCACACAAUAUUGCAAGCAACUAUGUUAGUUUGCCUAAGGCUCACCGCUACCCAACCUCAUUCACCAUUACAGUUGGUUACUAGAUACGAGCCUGACGUUUCGCAUUUACAUGUGUUUGGGUGCGUAGUCUAUUUACCAAUAAUGCCACCAUUACGUACCCAAAUGGGUUCUCAAAGAAAAAUGAAAAUUUAUGUCGGUUAUGAUUCACCAUCAAUUGUAUGCUACUUAGAACCCUUGACAGAAGAUCUCUUUAUAGCACAUUUUGCGGAUUGUCACUUUGAUGAAACAGUCUUCUCGUCGUUAUGGGGAGAUAAGAUCAUUAACGUUCUUGUAUAACACCGCGAAUUGUCGUGGAUUAAUCCCACUAUGUCUCAUUUAGAUCCACACACGCCUCAAUCUAAAACUGAAGUGCGACGAAUUCUAGAUCUUUAAAGCAUUGCUCAAAGCAUGCCAGAUGUUUUUACUGAUCUAGCGAAGGUAAUGAGAUCACAUAUACCCGCUGCAAACGCACCUACAAGGAUGGACGUACAUAUCGUAUGUUGUAACGUUGUCAUGGAAGGCCGAACCAUCCCCAAGGGUAGGGGGGCUGCACCUCCCACACAGCAAGGUACAUUAGCGGCUAACUAAUCACCUGCUUCUACCCUGAAGCGUGGCAAGCCUAUUGGUUCAAAGGAUUCACAACCCCGAAUGAGGAAAUUGACAAACUAGUGAACCUAGUCUGAAUUCGACCAUUGCUUACUUAUCCAUUCCAACGCAUGAGGUUAUUCUAGAUUACGGUGAUGCUUCAUAUGAAACAUGUCGGCCUCC